UUUGGUAGUUUGCUGAGCUUCCUUAAAACAAUUAUUUUGAAUUCUUUUUCAGGCAGUUCAUAGAUCUUUAUUUCUUUGAAGUCAUUUGCUGGAAUAUUAAUUGUGAUUGUUUGGUGGUGCCAUGCUUCCUUGAUUUUGUGGUGGUGUUUGAAGUCUUAUGUUGCUGUCUUCACAUCUGAAGAAACAGUCACAUCCUUCAGUCUAUUUACUGACUUUGGGAAAAUAAUGCAGUAAUAUAAAUUGCAAUGUCUUCUGUGGCCAUGGAAGAUUUAACAAGCCUUCAGCUUCCUCAUUUGUAGAAUUAGACCACCAGUUAUGAUUUGGACCUGACAAGAAAUGGAAUAUGCUAACCCCAAGUGUCGCCCAGUCAUUUCCCGUGGACAUACCAGAUACUGCCAAAUUUUACCUUUUACUUAUUUGCCAUUAAUCUAUGGAUUACCUGCUUUGUGGUAGUGGUGAUGCAGUGGUGCCUAAGGAUAUGGGAUAAGUUCUGCAGAAGCAUACAGUAGGAACAGAGCAAAGAGAUAAAGAGGAUCCUACAAAUUAACCAUAGAAUAUGAGAGAAAUGCCUGAGGGUCAGAUGGCAUUAAGAAUGAGGUAUAUGGAAGAAAUGUUCACCUGGGACAGAGAGAUACUCUGAUAGGUGAAGAAAAUCAAUCACAAGCAAGCUUUUGAGUUCGGAUCCUUUUUGUAUUGCACAUGACCUGGAGUGGGUCCCAGCUUCGUCACUUCUGUGAAAGAGCCAGCAACAGAAGCAGCAGUUCAGAUCAUCUAGUGCUGGAGCUGAGGGGGACUUACAUCAUUUCAGAAUGCUUCAGCUGUCCUCAAAUGAGAAUCACUCCCUGUCGCUAAAAGAAUACUCGUCAAGACUUCGGAUGUAAAGCUGAUCUCUCAGAUGAGUCCAAAUCCUUCCAGAGUAGAGCUAUUCCUCUUCUGGACUUAAACAGCAGGGAUGACAAAGUGAUAUUUAAUUCCAUGUUUUCUUUGGGGUGUUACUAGGGUACCAGGGCUUCUAGUGAUUUGCUCCUGCUGACCAUCAAGAGGUUGUUGUAUCCACCUUGCCAGUUGUUGAUGGCCCCCAAAGUGUGUCGUACAGCCAUGGAAAACCUACUACUCCCACUAGCAGUGCCCUAGGCCAGAUAAUUGUUCUCUGGCCUUUCUCUUGAGGUUGGAGAGAACCUCAUUACUGAGAAAGUUUGCUCCAUGGUAUCAGCUAUUAGAGACCUAAAAAGGUAACCCCCUUAUUUUGGUUUGCUAUCCCUGCUACUGAGGCUACCAAAAACAUUUCCCAAGGUUGGGGCUGGAGAUAGUAGAGGAUAUCAUUUAAUGUGUCACCUCACUUGAUAUUAUAAAUGUAAUGCAAUGUAUAUUGUAAAGUUGAAAGCACACUCAUUACCAGUGGCCUGAGAAGCCAUAUCUAGGGGCUUGAACUUCCAAGGGAGGAAGAUGACUUCAUGAGUUUUAAAGACGAUUGCACGAUAGCAUGAUAAAAAAGUUGUGUGUCCACCACAAAGUCACUACUUAGGCAUCAGAGGUAGUUAGUCGUCUGUUUACUACUGCAUGUAACUCUCCUAUACUUGGGCCAUGUUUGGGAGCCAGAACAAUGGAUCUGAUAUAAGCAUGAAGAUCUUCAGCUUCCACAAGUGUGCCUCACCUGGGCAGCACAUUUCUCAUGUGUGUCCCAAGACCAUAAAUUGAAGUUUUUCUUUUAUCUCUUUACCCACCUAUGCUCAGCCACAGUGAAAACACCACUGUAGAGACUUUUAUUCAAUAAUUCAAGGAUUUAAGAAAAGGGAAAUCAUGUGACUAGGAAACAGACGACUGAAAGGAUUAUAUGUGGGGUCGUGAAUAUCUAUUUCAUUGACCC
ensembl:lncRNA